CCUGCAGCUAGCAGAACAAUGAAAACAUCCAAACCUAAUGACUGCAGCCGAUCUUCGGGGCUGAAAGCAGCAUCCAGUAUUUCGUGUCUCUGCUCCUCUGCUGCAUCCAGUCGCUGUUUGACCUGCUGUCUCCACAUCUCUGAGUUCAUCAACUGCUGCUGUUUCUAUCUUACAUCUUUAUUAACUCUCCCGCUGCUGCUCCGUCAACAAAAACCCAAGAAAACACGAAGGACGACGCUCCAACUGCCGCCAUUGAACCGGAGAGAAACACGAGUCUGCGCACUGGGGGUUAGGGGCUGGACCCCGGAAGGCCCAUCAAACACAAGACCUCAGCUGGACGUUAACGUGUCCGCCAUAUUGGCAAGGGAGAGGUAGCCAAAUUCCGAUGAACGCUUAGGUUUUAACAGGUUUUGUUUAAGUUAAAGGAUUAUUUAUUUUUUCGUAAAAUUAUGUUGUUUCCACUGACUUGAUAACCGAGCAAACUCUACAAAAAUGUUUUUUAAUGCUUCUUUAAAUUCUUAUCAUAAAUUUACAUUUGGCCAGAACAUAUGUACACUCCUAAUGCAGAACAUGAACCAAACAUUGCCAAUAUAUAUAUGUCCAAUUA